rnacentral:lncRNA from 1 species
AAAAUUUCAAUUCCAAUUUCAUGUUCAAAAGAAAAUAAGAACACUGUAUAGGAAAGAGAGAGAUAAGAGAAUGAUGUGUAAUGUAAUGUUGAUAACCAAACCUUCGUACCAAGAUAACCAAAUUAUUAUACCAAUGUAACCAAACCUUUAUACCAAGGUAACUAAUCUACCUCCACACAUGCAGUAUGAAUUGGUUACUUUGGUCUGAAAGUUUGACAACCAACAACAUAAAGGUUUGGCUACCAACUGCAUCACAUUCAAAAUAAAUUGGUAACUUAAUAAAACUGAAUUGGUUACCUUGGUAUGAAGAUUUGGCUACCCACUGCAUAAAUGUUUG